AGUGCAUGUGGUGGAUGCCUUGGCAGUCAGAGGCGAUGAAAGACGUGAUAGCCUGCGAAAAGCUCCGGGGAGGCGGCAAAUAUCCUUUGAUCCGGAGAUGUCUGAAUGGGGGAACCCACCUACUUUAAGGUAGGUAUUGCAACAUGAAUACAUAGUGUUGCAAGGCGAACGAGGGGAAGUGAAACAUCUCAGUACCCUUAGGAAAAGAAAUCAAUUGAGAUUCCCUCAGUAGCGGCGAGCGAACGGGGAUCAGCCCAUUAAGUUAUGUGUGUUUUAGUGGAACGCUCUGGGAAGUGCGAACGUAGAGGGUGAUAUUCCCGUACACGAAAGGGCACACAUAAUGAUGACGAGUAGGGCGAGGCACGUGAAACCUUGUCUGAAUAUGGGGGGACCAUCCUCCAAGGCUAAAUACUCCUGACUGACCGAUAGUGAACCAGUACCGUGAGGGAAAGGCGAAAAGAACCCCUGUGAGGGGAGUGAAAUAGAUCCUGAAACCGCAUGCAUACAAGCAGUGGGAGCACCUUCGUGGUGUGACUGCGUACCUUUUGUAUAAUGGGUCAGCGACUUAUAUUCAGUAGCGAGGUUAACCGUAUAGGGGAGCCGUAGAGAAAUCGAGUCUUAAUAGGGCGUUUAGUUGCUGGGUAUAGACCCGAAACCAGGCGAUCUAUCCAUGAGCAGGUUGAAGGUUGGGUAACACUAACUGGAGGACCGAACCCACUGUCGUUGAAAAGCCAGGGGAUGACUUGUGGAUAGGGGUGAAAGGCUAAUCAAGCCUGGUGAUAGCUGGUUCUCCCCGAAAGCUAUUUAGGUAGCGCCUCGGACGAAUACCAUAGGGGGUAGAGCACUGUUUCGGCUAGGGGGUCAUCCCGACUUACCAAACCGAUGCAAACUCCGAAUACCUAUGAGUACUAUCCGGGAGACAGACUGCGGGUGCUAACGUCCGUAGUCAAGAGGAAAACAAUCCAGACCGCCAGCUAAGGCCCCAAAAUCAUAGUUAAGUGGGAAACGAUGUGGGAAGGCAUAGACAGCUAGGAGGUUGGCUUAGAAGCAGCCACCCUUUAAAGAAAGCGUAAUAGCUCACUAGUCGAGUCGGCCUGCGCGGAAGAUGUAACGGGGCUAAAACUAUGUGCCGAAGCUGCGGAUGUAUACUUUGUAUACGUGGUAGGGGAGCGUUCUGUAAGCCGAUGAAGGUGUGUUGAGAAGCAUGCUGGAGGUAUCAGAAGUGCGAAUGCUGACGUGAGUAACGACAAAACGGGUGAAAAACCCGUUCGCCGAAAGACCAAGGGUUCCAGUCCAACGUUAAUCGGGGCUGGGUGAGUCGACCCCUAAGGCGAGGCCGAAAGGCGUAGUCGAUGGGAAAAUGGUUAAUAUUCCAUUACUUCUGUGUAAUGCGAUGAGAGGACGGAGAAGGCUAAAUCAGCCUGGCGUUGGUUGUCCAGGUGAAAGGAUGUAGGCAUGUAUCUUAGGCAAAUCCGGGGUACUCUAUGCUGAGAUCUGAUAGCAAGCUGUACUUGUACAGCGAAGUGGUUGAUGCCAUGCUUCCAGGAAAAGUCUCUAAGCUUCAGUUACACAGGAAUCGUACCCGAAACCGACACAGGUGGUCAGGUCGAGUAGACCAAGGCGCUUGAGAGAACUCUGCUGAAGGAACUAGGCAAAAUGGUACCGUAACUUCGGGAGAAGGUACGCUGUUGUUGGUGAUGGAACUCGCUUCCUGAGCUGACGACAGCCGCAGAAACCAGGCCGCUGCAACUGUUUAUUAAAAACAUAGCACUCUGCAAACACGAAAGUGGACGUAUAGGGUGUGAUGCCUGCCCGGUGCUGGAAGGUUAAUUGAUGGGGUUAGCGUAAGCGAAGCUCUUGAUCGAAGCCCCAGUAAACGGCGGCCGUAACUAUAACGGUCCUAAGGUAGCGAAAUUCCUUGUCGGGUAAGUUCCGACCUGCACGAAUGGCAUAAUGAUGGCGGCGCUGUCUCCAGCAGAGGCUCAGUGAAAUCGAAAUCGCUGUGAAGAUGCAGUGUACCCGCGGCUAGACGGAAAGA
rnacentral:rRNA from 1 species